AAAGUGCUAUGGAGGCUUCACAGUUCCAAGUAAUUGAGGGGAUUGUGGAGGAGGUUUAACAGCUGCAUACAAUUGAGUGUUGAAGGCUAUAUAUUAAGAAGUAAGUGAGAUGGUGGCAAGAGAGAGGCUGCAUGUCCUGAUUCAGCUCAGUUUGUCAUGUUUUGGUAUAUUUACUUGGCAUGUGAAAAGUUCAUGUGAAAUAAUUCACACCCUCCUGGAUGAAUCUAAACAAUGGGAUUGGAGGAAGUAAUAAAGAAUCCUUACAACAACCAGGGAGAAGACUCUGUCUCUGAGAAACUGUUUAUAUACUUACAGUUGAAAAUACUGUUUUUUGAUGAAGCAAUUGUGAAACGAAGAUUUAUCAUGAAAUCUUGUAGAAAUAUACUUAUUAUACACAAAUACUGA